UACGGAGGAUCCGAGCGUUAUCCGGAUUUAUUGGGUUUAAAGGGUGCGCAGGCGGGGGAUUAAGUCGGCGGUGAAAUUUUGCAGCUCAACUGUAAAAGUGCCUUCGAAACUGGUUUCCUUGAGUGUAGAUGAAGUAGGCGGAAUUUGUGGUGUAGCGGUGAAAUGCAUAGAUAUCACGAGGAACUCCGAUUGCGCAGACAGCUUACUAAACUACUACUGACGCUCAGGCACGAAGGCGUGGGGAUCAAACAGGAUUAGAUACCCCUGUAGUCCCU
rnacentral:rRNA from 1 species